UAAUCGGAAUUACUGGGCGUAAAGCGUGCGCAGGCGGUUUGUUAAGCGAGAUGUGAAAGCCCCGGGCUCAACCUGGGAACUGCAUUUCGAACUGGCAAACUAGAGUCUUGUAGAGGGGGGUAGAAUUUCAGGUGUAGCGGUGAAAUGCGUAGAGAUCUGAAGGAAUACCGGUGGCGAAGGCGGCCCCCUGGACAAAGACUGACGCUCAGGCACGAAAGCGUGGGGAGCAAACAGGAUUAGAUACCCUGGUAGUCCACGCCGUAAACGAUGUCUACUCGGAGUUUGGUGNNCUUGAGCACUGGGCUCUCAAGCUAACGCAUUAAGUAGACCGCCUGGGGAGUACGGCCGCAAGGUUAAAACUCAAAUGAAUUGACGGGGGCCCGCACAAGCGGUGGAGCAUGUGGUUUAAUUCGAUGCAACGCGAAGAACCUUACCUACUCUUGACAUCCAGAGAAUUCGCUAGAGAUAGCUUAGUGCCUUCGGGAACUCUGAGACAGGUGCUGCAUGGCUGUCGUCAGCU
rnacentral:rRNA from 1 species